UAGGAGAGGGGGGAAGGGAUCU
rnacentral:miRNA from 1 species